rnacentral:rRNA from 1 species
ACGCACGCUGGCGGCGUGCUUAACCCCUGCAAGUCGAACGGAAAGGCCCUGCUUUUGUGUGGUGCUCGAGGGGCGAACGGGUGAGUAACACGUGAGUAACCUGCCCUUGACUUGGGGAUAACUUCAGGAAACGGGGGCUAAUACCGGAUAGGAGCUCCUGCUGCAUGGUGGGGGGUGGAAAGUUUCGGCGGUUGGGGAUGGACUCGCGGCUUAUCAGCUUGUUGGUGGGGUAGUGGCUUACCAAGGCUUUGACGGGUAGCCGGCCUGAGAGGGUGACCGGCCACAUUGGGACUGAGAUACGGCCCAGACUCCUACGGGAGGCAGCAGUGGGGAAUAUUGCACAAUGGGCGGAAGCCUGAUGCAGCAACGCCGCGUGCGGGAUGACGGCCUUCGGGUUGUAAACCGCUUUCGCCUGUGACGAAGCGUGAGUGACGGUAAUGGGUAAAGAAGCACCGGCUAACUACGUG